rnacentral:rRNA from 1 species
UACAGAGGGGGCAAGCGUUAUUCGGAAUUAUUGGGCGUAAAGGGCGCGUAGGCGGCUUUUCAAGUGACGGGUGAAAUCCCUCGGCUUAACCGAGGAACUGCCUGUCAGACUGGAAGGCUUGAGACCGGGAGAGGUGAGUGGAAUUCCGAGUGUAGAGGUGAAAUUCGUAGAUAUUCGGAAGAACACCAGUGGCGAAGGCGGCUCACUGGACUGGUAUUGACGCUGAGGUGCGAAAGCGUGGGGAGCAAACAGG